rnacentral:rRNA from 1 species
GUUCGAUUAAGCCAUGCGAGUCGCGAGAAAUUAGAUUCUCGGCGUACCGCUCAGUAACACGUGGGUAACCUGCCCUAUGCUGGAUAAUAACCUCGGGAAACUGAGUAUAAUGAUCCAUAGUUCACUACGCCUGGAACGGUGAGUGGAUGAAAGCUCCGGCGGCAUAGGAUGGGCCUGCGGCGUAUCAGGUAGUAGGGGGUGUAACGUACCCUCUAGCCCUCUACGCGUACGGGUGUUGGGAGACAUAGCCCGGAGAUGGAUUCUGAGACACGAAUCCAGACCCUACGGGGUGCAGCAGGCGCGAAAACUUGGCAAUGCGAGAAAUCGUGACCAGGGAACUCCAAGUGCAUCGGGUAAGACCGGUGCUUUUCUUGACUCUAAAUAGGUCUUGGAAUAAGGGGUGGGUAAGGACGGUGCCAGCCGCCGCGGUAAUACCGGCGCCUCAAGUGGUAGUCGCUUUUAUUGGGCCUAAAACGUCCGUAGCCGGUCUGAUACAUUCGUGGGUAAAUCAACCAGCUCAACUGGUUGAAUUCUGCGAGGACGGUCAGACUUGGGACCGGGAGAGGUGUGGGGGUACGCUCAGGGUAGGGGGUAAAAAUCCUGUCAUCCCUGAGCGGACCACCUGUUGCGAAGGCGCCACACUAGAACGGAUCCCGACGGUCAGGGACGAAGCCUAGGGGCACGAACCGGAUUAGAUACCCCGGGUAGUCCUAGGUGUAAACGCUGUGGACUUUGAUGUU